GCCGUGAUCGUAUAGCGGUCAGUACAUUGCGUUGUGGCCGCUAUAACCCAGGUUCGAAUCCUGGUCACGGCA
rnacentral:tRNA from 1 species